CCUUUCCUUUAUUGUGUUGUAAAACACUAUUCACAAACUUCUCCAAACAGCUGUAUUGUAGUCCAGCCUUUACUUCCGUGACGAACGUGCGUCACUUUGUAACACGCUUGUAGUUAGAAAGCGUGGCA